AGACAUCAACUCAGUGGACAACAGGAGAGAUAAAGCUGGACAUCAUCUGCAUGUCUGCAUGGCACCUGAACCCUGUGAAGAAGAAGAAGACCUCCCCCAUGUUCCAUUUACAUGAACAAAUUGAAGUUGGUUAGACAGAUAUGAUUCAAACCCACUACACCACAGUACAUUUAAUACUUAUGACAUGUUUUAAUCUUACUAGUAAAAUAUUGUGGUCAACACUGCACUGAGAUCUAGGACAAGCAUAGACUAGAUCGCUAUCACAGGCCGUAAGAAAAUCAUUUGUAACUUUCACUUGUGUUGUUUCUCGUGGGGAUCUUUUAUGAUCAGAAUUUUUCAGCCCUGUAUUAAGUCUGAUGACUGCCUGCUGUUAGCAGCCCCCUUAUUUGAGCUGCCAAAUGAUCGUGGAGUCCCAUUAACUUCUUCAGUCAGCACGAGUGGAUCAUAUCAGACCCUGGUGCUGUCCAGUUCUUUAUUCCACAGAUUCAUUAGUGGAAGUCUACCUUUGUAAUGUUAUCUGGCCUCUUUCUCCCACGUUCUUCAAAUUUUGCUCAGUUUCAACUCUCAGCUAUUAUUCCCUAAUAGCUGAGAGUACAUCUAGGGUGAAUCUUUGCAGAACAGGUUUAUUCUCUUGGCCUCUGCUUCGCUGGUAUAUCUCUUCAACCUAGUGGCCAGAACUCUGAGCCUUUGUUUGGCAGUUCUAGAGCCUCAGUGAUGGACAUCUUGUACCUCUUUUUCUUUCCAGGACCUGUCACUCAUGAUGUAUUUCUGUAUCUCCUUGAUCUUACAAUGUAGGAAAUAAUUAUUUG